rnacentral:ncRNA from 1 species
CCUUGAUAAAGGCAAACCCGUCGAAAGACGGGGACGCAAAGCCACGGGCCUAAAGCAUUGCUAUGGCAGCCGGGUCGCCGGG